UACGUAGGGCGCAAGCGUUAUCCGGAAUUAUUGGGCGUAAAGAGCUCGUAGGCGGUUUGUCGCGUCUGCCCGUGAAAAGUCCGGGGGCUCAACUCCGGAUCUGCGGUGGGUACGGGCAGACUAGAGUGAUGUAGGGGAGACUGGAAUUCCUGGUGUAGCGGUGAAAUGCGCAGAUAUCAGGAGGAACACCGAUGGCGAAGGCAGGUCUCUGGGCAUUAACUGACGCUGAGGAGCGAAAAGCAUGGGGAGCGAACAGG
rnacentral:rRNA from 1 species